CAGAAGAACACUAUUCAAUUUAGAAAAACAACCAGUCAUUUCUCCUAUACUAUAUUUCCUAUCAAGAAAAUAAAUCUUGAGAAAAUUUUAAAAGUAUGUGAAAAUUAUUAUUUGAUUAUUCUUUCUAAUCACAUCCUGAAAUCCAAAAAUUUCAGGGUGUGACACGAACCAGGGGUUCGGCCGACCCCCUAUAACCGCCUCUCGCA
rnacentral:lncRNA from 1 species